AUGGCUGCUGCUGCUGCUGCUCAGCCUCGUGUCAUGGUGCUACCCUUUCCUGCGCAGGGCCACGUCAUCCCGCUCAUGGAGCUGUCGCGCAAGCUCGUCGAGCACGGCUUCGAGAUCGACUUCGUGAACACCGAGUUCAACCACGACCGCGUCCUCCAGGCCUUGGCAGAGGACGGAGCAAUCCCAGGAGGAAUUCACAUGCUCUCCGUACCGGACGGCCUGGGGCCGGCCGACGACCACACCGACAUCGGCGCACUGGUCAAGGGACUACCGGCCGCUAUGUCCGGCCGCCUCGAGGGGAUGAUCAGGUCGAGGAAGACCAAGUGGAUGAUAGCGGACGUGUCCAUGAGCUGGGCCCUGGAGCUGGCCACCACGGCGGGCGUCCGUGUCGCCUUGUUCUCCACGUACUCUGCAGCCGUGUUCGCGCUCAGGUUGAAGCUCCCAAAGCUGAUAGAGGACGGCGUUGUUGAUGAAAGUGGGAACGUGAAGAGGAACGAGAGGGUCCAACUGAUGCCGCCCGUUGACGCGGCCGAGAUCCCCUGGGUCAGCCUUGGCAGCACGCCUGAGAGGCGCAGAACCAACAUCCAAAACGUCCUCAGGACCAACCGGUUGAUGCCGCUAGCUGAGACGAUCAUAUGCAACACCUUCAUGGAGAUGGAACCUGACGCUCUGGCUCUGCUCCCAAACGCGCUGCCGCUCGGCCCGCUGGUAGCGCCGACGUCGAGGCCCGCCGGACAUUUCCUACCCGAAGACCUCACCUGCCUCGCCUGGCUCGACGCGCAGGCCCCCUGCUCCGUCGUCUACGUCGCCUUCGGGAGCUCCGGCAUCUUGGACGCGACGCAGUUCCAAGAGCUUGCCGACGGGCUCGCGCUCUCCGGCCGACCGUUCCUGUGGGUCGUCCGGCCAAACUUCACCACCGGAGCCACGGAAGGUUGGUUCGACGCGUUCAAGCGCCACGUCGAGGGAAAGGGUCUGAUCGUCGGCUGGGCGCCGCAGCAACGCGUGCUCUCGCACCGGGCCGUCGCCUGCUUCGUGUCGCACUGCGGGUGGAACUCGACCAUGGAAGGCAUGCUGCACGGCGUGCUGUUCCUCUGCUGGCCGUACUUCGCCGACCAGUUCUCCAACCAGAGCUACAUCUGCAACGUUUGGGGCACCGGCAUCAAGCUUUGCCGAGACGAGCGAGGGGUCGUAGCGAAGGAGGAGAUCGAGAGCAAGGUGGCGCGGCUGCUCGGCGACGAGGGGGUCAAGGCGAGGGCUGCGACGUGGAAGGACAAGGCUUGUGCGAGCAUUGCAGAGGGCGGGUCCUCGCAUGAGUACCUACUCAAGCUUGUGGAUUUGCUAGUAGAGCAGGGAUCCCAUCACGACACCGCGUGA
rnacentral:rRNA from 1 species